rnacentral:tRNA from 1 species
GCAUUGGUGAUUCAGUGGUAGAAUUCUCCCCUUUCAUGCAGGAAACCUAGGUUCAACUCCCAGCCAAUGCA